AGUGAACGCUGGCGGUAGGCCUAACACAUGCAAGUCGAACGGCAGCACAGUAAGAGCUUGCUCUUACGGGUGGCGAGUGGCGGACGGGUGAGGAAUACAUCGGAAUCUACUUUUUCGUGGGGGUUAACGUAGGGAAACCUACUCUAAUACCGCAUACGCCCUACGGGUGAAAGCAGUGGAUCUUCGGACCUUGCGCGAUUGAACGAGCCGAUGUGGUACUAGUUAGUUGGCGGGGUAAAGGCCCACCAAGGCGCGGAUCCGUAGCUGGUCUGAGAGGAUGAUCGGCCGCACUGGAACUGAGACACGGUCCAGACGACUGCGGGAGGCAGCAGUGGGGAAUAGUAGGCAAUAGUCGCAAGCAUGGUCCAGCGAUACCGCGUGGGUGGAAAAGGCCUUCGGGUUGUAAAGCCGUUUUGUUGGGAGAGAAAAGCUGCAGGUUGAUACCCCGCGGGUGUGACGGUACCCGGUAAAUAAGCACCGGCUAACUACGUG
rnacentral:rRNA from 1 species